UUAGUUAAAGCCAAAAAGAGGCAUAUCACUGUUAAUGAUAUAAUUGAAGAUCCCUUCUAACUAAG
rnacentral:tRNA from 1 species